rnacentral:rRNA from 1 species
AUUGAACGCUGGCGGCAUGCCUUACACAUGCAAGUCGAACGGUAACGCGGGGCAACCUGGCGACGAGUGGCGAACGGGUGAGUAAUGUAUCGGAACGUGCCCAGUUGUGGGGGAUAACUGCUCGAAAGAGCAGCUAAUACCGCAUACGACCUGAGGGUGAAAGCGGGGGAUCGCAAGACCUCGCGCGAUUGGAGCGGCCGAUAUCAGAUUAGGUAGUUGGUGGGGUAAAGGCGUCACCAAGCCAACGAUCUGUAGCUGGUCUGAGAGGACGACCAGCCACACUGGAACUGAGACACGGUCCAGACUCCUACGGGAGGCAGCAGUGGGGAAUUUUGGACAAUGGACGCAAGUCUGAUCCAGCCAUUCCGCGUGCAGGAUGAAGGCCCUCGGGUUGUAAACUGCUUUUGUACGGAACGAAAGGUUUCUAUUAAUACUAGGAGCUCAUGACGGUACCGUAAGAAUAAGCACCGGCUAACUACGUGCCAGCAGCCGACGG